AAGAGAGACAAAACAGCACAUUUGUGUGUAAAAGAAAAAUAGAUAAUCGUUGUAGAUGGACAAAUAGAGUUGGAUAGAGAGAGAAAGAGAAAGAGAAAGUAAAGAGAGAGGACUGUGAUCAGAUUCUGCUGUUGUUAGUUUUUGACAGUUGACUCGGCUGUUAUUUAUCUCUCUCAAAAUUCUCACACAAGUAUUAUUAUUCGCAGUGAAUGCCUCGAGAGCACGACACAAUCACAAAAACCCUGGAAAAAAUAACCCUCCAAGAUUUCAGCUGACCCGGAUUUCAUUUAUUUAAGGAUCUAAAGGCGGCAUAGGGCCGAGGCUAAGGCCUGCACAACAAUAGGUUUUAUAGAUCAGAUCGGUUUGAUGAAAAUAUGAGGUCUACAGUCCAAUUCUAAUGGGUUGAGCCCAUGAGUUAGUCCCUUAAUUUUUUUUAAUUGUCAACUGUAACCGACCAGUAUCGGGUUUUUUUCUCGGGUUCUAAAUCGGUUCAAUUGAAUUGACACCUUUAAUAGGA